rnacentral:rRNA from 1 species
AGGAAUUGGCGGGGGAGCACUACAACGGGUGGAGCCUGCGGUUCAAUUGGAUUCAACGCCGGAAAGCUUACCGGGUCAGACAGCAAUAUGAAGGUCAAGCUAAAGACUUUACCGAAUUCGCUGAGAGGAGGUGCAUGGCCGUCGUCAGUUCGUAUCGUGAGACAUCCUGUUAAGUCAGGCAACGAGCAAGACCCGUGCCCACAGUUGCCAGCAUACCCUCCGGGGUGAUGGGCACACUGUGGGGACCGCCGCUGCUAAAGCGGAGGAAGGUGCGGGCUACGGUAGGUCAGUAUGCCCCGAAUCAUCCGGGCUACACGCGGGCUACAAUGGUUGGGACAAUGGGCACCUACACCGAGAGGUGAUGGUAAUCUCCUAAACCCAGCCUUAGUUCGGAUUGAGGGCUGCAACUCGCCCUCAUGAAGCC